UUUGGUCAAGUUACUAAGGGCGCACGGCGGAUGCCUUGGCGCUAGGAGCCGAAGAAGGACGUAGCGAACUACGAAAAGCCACGGUAAGCUGUAAGCAAGCCUUGACCCGUGGAUCUCCGAAUGGGGCAACCCACUAUGGUUAAUACCAUAGUAUCACUACCUGAAUACAUAGGGUAGUAGAAGGCAACCGGGGGAACUGAAACAUCUAAGUACCCCGAGGAAGAGAAAGAAUAAUCGAUUCCCUAAGUAGUGGCGAGCGAAAUGGGAAGAGCCUAAACACAUGUGAUGUAAGACUGCAAUCGUUGUUACAUGUGGGUUGAGGGAGCAAUUGUGGUAUCUUGCAGGAUAUCAAGGUAGUUACAAAAGUUAAUUUUAGACGAACUGUUUGGAAAGACAGGCCGUAGAAGGUGAAAGCCCUGUAGUUGAAAAGAUUAACCCUACCUAAUUGCCACCCGAGUACAGCGGGACACGUGAAACCCCGUUGGAAUCUAGGAGGACCACCUCCAAAGGCUAAAUACUACCUAGCGACCGAUAGUGAAGCAGUACCGUGAGGGAAAGGUGAAAAGAACCUCGGAAGAGGAGUGAAAAAGAACCUGAAACCGUGUGCCUACAAACAGUCAAAGCCCCAUACGCGGGUGAUGGCGUGCCUUUUGUAGAAUGAACCAGCGAGUUACGUAGUCAAGCAAGGUUAAGUGGUAAAGCCACGGAGCCGAAGGGAAACCGAGUCUUAAAAGGGCGUGAAGUUUGGCUGCGUAGACCCGAAACCGGGUGACCUACCCAUGGCCAGGGUGAAGUUUUGUUAACGCAAAAUGGAGGCCCGAACCCACUAAUGUUGAAAAAUUAGGGGAUGAGCUGUGGGUAGCGGAGAAAUUCCAAUCGAACUCGGAGAUAGCUGGUUCUCCCCGAAAUAGCUUUAGGGCUAGCCUCGGAAUAAAAUAGUGGAGGUAGAGCACUGAUUGGGCUAGGGGCCUUACCAGGUUACCGAACUCAGUCAAACUCCGAAUGCCACAUAUUUGUUUUCCGGGAGUCAGACUAUGGGUGCUAAGGUCCAUAGUCGAGAGGGAAACAGCCCAGACCAUCUGCUAAGGUCCCAAAGUAUAAGUUAAGUGGAAAAGGAUGUGGGAUUGCACAGACAACCAGGAUGUUGGCUUAGAAGCAGCCACCAUUUAAAGAGUGCGUAAUAGCUCACUGGUCAAGUGAUCCUGCGCCGAAAAUGUAACGGGGCUCAAACUUAUCACCGAAGCAAUGGAUGAUGUAAAUCAUGGUAGGGGAGCGUUCUAUUUGCGCAGAAGCUGUACCGUAAGGAGCAGUGGAGCGAAUAGAAGUGAGAAUGCUGGUAUAAGUAACGAAAAAAGAUGUGAGAAUCAUCUUCGCCGAAAACCUAAGGUUUCCUGAGGAAGGCUCGUCCUCUCAGGGUAAGCCGGGACCUAAGCCGAGGCCGAAAGGCGUAGGCGAUGGACAACUGGUAGAGAUUCCAGUGCCACCAAACUUCGUUUGAGAGAUGGGGUGACGCAGGAAGGUAGGUUAUCGCACUGUUGGUUAUGUGCGUCCAAGCUUUUAGGGAGAGUAGAUAGGCAAAUCCGUCGACUCAUAAUCCUGAGGAGUGAAGGGGACCCGAAUGAGGGGAACUAACUGAUCCUACACUGCCAAGAAAAGCCUCUAUCGAGAAGUAAGGUGCCCGUACCGCAAACCGACACAGGUAGGUAAGGAGAGAAUCCUAAGGCGCUCGGGAGAACCUUCGUUAAGGAACUCGGCAAAAUGACCCCGUAACUUCGGGAGAAGGGGUGCCUCAUUAUGGUGAGAGAAUUUACUUCUUAAGCUAGAAGAGGCCGCAGUGAAUAGGCCCAAGCGACUGUUUAGCAAAAACACAGGUCUCUGCUAAAUCGAAAGAUGAAGUAUAGGGGCUGACGCCUGCCCGGUGCUGGAAGGUUAAGGGAAGAGGUUAGCGCAAGCGAAGCUUUGAACCGAAGCCCCAGUAAACGGCGGCCGUAACUAUAACGGUCCUAAGGUAGCGAAAUUCCUUGUCAGGUAAGUUCUGACCCGCACGAAUGGCGUAACGACUUGGGCACUGUCUCAACGAAGGACCCGGUGAAAUUGUAGUACCUGUGAAGAUGCAGGUUACCCGCGACAAGACGGAAAGACCCCGUGGAGCUUUACUGUAGCCUGAUAUUGAGUUUUGGCAUUUUAUGUACAGGAUAGGUGGGAGGCUGAGAAAGUAGCACGCCAGUGUUGCUGGAGCCACCCGUGGGAUACCACCCUUAAAGUGCUGGAAUUCUAACUGUGUACCGUUAUCCGGUACUAGGACAGUGUCAGGUGGGCAGUUUGACUGGGGCGGUCGCCUCCUAAAGAGUAACGGAGGCGCCCAAAGGUUCCCUCAGAAUGGUUGGAAAUCAUUCGAAGAGUGUAAAGGCAGAAGGGAGCUUGACUGCGAGACCUACAAGUCGAGCAGGGACGAAAGUCGGGCUUAGUGACCCGGCGGUACCGAGUGGAAGGGCCGUCGCUCAACGGAUAAAAGCUACCCCGGGGAUAACAGGCUUAUCUCCCCCAAGAGUCCACAUCGACGGGGAGGUUUGGCACCUCGAUGUCGGCUCAUCGCAUCCUGGGGCUGAAGAAGGUCCCAAGGGUUGGGCUGUUCGCCCAUUAAAGCGGUACGCGAGCUGGGUUCAGAACGUCGUGAGACAGUUCGGUCCCUAUCUGUCGCGGGCGCAGGAAGUUUGAAAGGAGCUGUCCUUAGUACGAGAGGACCGGGAUGGACGAACCUCUGGUGUACCAGUUGUCAUGCCAAUGGCAGUUCUGGGUAGCCAAGUUUGGUCGGGAUAAGCGCUGAAAGCAUCUAAGCGCGAAGCCCCCCUUAAGAUAAGACUUCCCAUUCCGUAAGGAAGUAAGACCCCAGAAAGACUAUCUGGUUGAUAGGCUAGGAGUGUAAGGGUAGUAAUACCUUCAGCGGACUAGUACUAAUCGGUCGAGGACUUGACCUAAAAAACC
rnacentral:rRNA from 1 species